rnacentral:rRNA from 1 species
CAGCCGCCACGGUAAUACAGAGGGUGCGAGCGUUAAUUGGAUUUACUGGGCGUAAAGCGUGCGUAGGCGGCUUUUUAAGUCGGAUGUGAAAUCCCUGAGCUUAACUUAGGAAUUGCAUUCGAUACUGGGAAGCUAGAGUAUGGGAGAGGAUGGUAGAAUUCCAGGUGUAGCGGUGAAAUGCGUAGAGAUCUGGAGGAAUACCGAUGGCGAAGGCAGCCAUCUGGCCUAAUACUGACGCUGAGGUACGAAAGCAUGGGGAGCAAACAGGAUUAGAGACCCCCGUAGUCCCUGUCUCUUAUAC